UGUUAUUAUCAUACUGAUUAUCAAACAAGGAAGUUGGUGACUUGAUGACAGGGGAGCCAGCGAUCGAAGCCCUGAUAAACGGCAGUCGUAAUUAUAACGAUCCUAAAGUAGCGAAAUUCCUUGUCGGGUAAAUUCCGACCCGCACUAAAGGCGUAACGAUCUAGGUACUGUCUCGGAGGUGAA
rnacentral:rRNA from 2 species